GAUAAAGCUACUAAGGGUAUACAGUGGAUGUCUUGGCAGUAAGAGGCGAAGAAAGACGUGUGUUAGACUGCGAUAUGAUUCGGCGAGCCGUCAAGCAGGCUUUGACCCGGAUAUUUCUGAAUGGGGGAACCCUGCUAAUGGAAACAUUAGUAACCACAUAGUGAGUAAAGUAGCUAUGUAGGAGCGAACCGAGGGAAUUGAAACAUCUUAGUACCUCGAGGAAUAUAAAUCAAUUGAGAUUUUGCUAGUAGCGGCGAGCGAACGCGAAAGAGCCCAAACCAGUUAGUUUACUACCUGGGGUUGUAGGACUGCAAUGUGUAUGCGUGAUAUUAGGGGAACAUACUGGGAAGUAUGACCAAAGAGAGUGAAAGUCUCGUACCUAAAAGUUGAUCGUGGCUAGCAGUAUCCUGAGUAGGGCGGGGCACGUGAAACCCUGUCUGAAUCUGGGAGGACCACCUUCCAAGGCUAAAUACUACUUACUGACCGAUAGUGAACAAGUACCGUGAGGGAAAGAUGAAAAGAACCCCGAUGAGGGGAGUGAAAUAGAAUCUGAAACUGUAUACUUACAAUCGGAUGAAGUGCUAUUGUAAGGCAUGACAUCGUACCUUUUGCAUUAUGAGCCAUCGAGUUACGAUAUGUAGCAAGGUUAAGCCGUUGCAGGUGUAGCCGUAGGGAAACCGAGUCUUAAUAGGGCGAAUUAGUUGCAUGUCGUAGACCCGAAACGGGAUGAGCUAUCCAUGAGCAGGUUGAAGCGAGGGUAACACCUUGUGGAGGACCGAACCCAUAUAGGUUGAAAACUGUUGGGAUGACUUGUGGAUAGGGGUGAAAGGCCAAUCAAAUUCCGUGAUAGCUGGUUCUCUCCGAAAUGCAUUUAGGUGCAGCGUCUGGCGAAUACUAACGGGGGUACAGCACUGAAUUGGCUAGGGGGAUUACCAUCUUACCAAACCAUAUCAAACUCAGAAUACCGUUAAGUAAUACCAGGCAGUGAGACUGCGGAUGCUAAGGUCCGUGGUCGAGAGGGAAAGAGCCCUUACCGUCAGCUAAGGUCCCAAAAUCGUGUCUAAGUGGGAAAGGUUGUGGAACUACUGUGACAUCCAGGAGGUUGGCUUAGAAGCAGCCACCCUUUAAAGAAAGCGUAAUAGCUCACUGGACUAGUGGUUCUGCGCCGAAAAUGUAACGGGGCUAAAGAUACGUACCGAAGCUACGGACUCGAAAGAGUGGUAGGAGAGCAUUGUGUUUACCGAUGAAGGCGUACCGUAAGGAGCGUUGGAGGUCCCACAAGAGCUGAUGAUGGCAUGAGUAGCGACAAGGAGUGUGAGAAUCACUCCCGCCGAAAAUCUAAGGGUUCCUGGGCCAGGUGACUCCGCCCAGGGUUAGUCGGAUCCUAAGGUGAGGCCGAAAGGCGUAAUCGAUGGACAACAGGUUAAUAUUCCUGUACUUAGUAAUAAUCGUUUGACAUGAAGGAGUGACGGAGAAAGGUAGCGAAUCCACCUAUUGGAUGGUGGUUUAAGCGUGUAGAGGGGAAAGAUAGGCAAAUCCGUUUUUCCAUUAACCUUGAGGCGUGAUGACGAGGGCUUGCCCGAAGUUCGUAACCCUAUGCUUCCCAGAAAAGCUUCGCAUGGAGAUUGUUAUUAAUCCGUACCGUAAACCGACACAGGUAGAUGAGGAGAGAAUCCUCAGGCGCUUGGGAUAACUCUUGUUAAGGAACUCUGCAAAUUGGUGCCGUAACUUCGGGAUAAGGCACGCCUCUAUUGGUGACAUCACUUGCUGGUGUAGCUUAUGGGGGUCGCAGUGAAAAGGGGGUAGCGACUGUUUAUCAAAAACAUAGGACUCUGCAAACACGCAAGUGGAAGUAUAGGGUCUGACGCCUGCCCGGUGCUGGAAGGUUAAGAGGAGAGGUUAUCCUUCGGGAGAAGCUUUGAAUUGAAGCCCCAGUAAACGGCGGCCGUAACUAUAACGGUCCUAAGGUAGCGAAAUUCCUAGUCGGGUAAGUUCCGACCUGCACGAAUGGCGUAACGACUUCCCCACUGUCUCAACAGGAGACCCAGCGAAAUUGGAGUGCCCGUGAAGAUACGGGCUACCCGCGGAAGGACGAAAAGACCCCGUGAACCUUUACUGUAGCUUGACAUUGGUUUUUGAUUAGUAAUGCGUAGGAUAGGUGGGAGCUUUUGAUGCGUGCGUUCCGGCGUACGUGGAGGCAUCCUUGAAAUACCACCCUUUGCUAAUUGAAAUCCUAACCUGCGAUCAUAAUCUGGUCGGGGGACAAUGUCUGGUGGGCAGUUUGACUGGGGCGGUCGCCUCCUAAAGAGUAACGGAGGCGCACAAAGGUUCCCUCAGCCCGCAUGGAAACCGGGCGUAGAGUGUAAACGCAUAAGGGAGCUUGACUGCAACACAAACGAGUGGCGCAGGGUCGAAAGACGGUGUUAGUGAUCCGGUGGUUCCGAGUGGAAGGGCCAUCGCUCAACGGAUAAAAGGUACUCCGGGGAUAACAGGCUGAUCUCCCCCAAGAGUUCACAUCGACGGGGAGGUUUGGCACCUCGAUGUCGGCUCAUCGCAUCCUGGGGCUGGAGCAGGUCCCAAGGGUUUGACUGUUCGUCAAUUAAAGCGGUACGCGAGCUGGGUUCAGAACGUCGUGAGACAGUUCGGUCUCUAUCCUCCGUGGGCGUAGGAAAUUUGAGUGAAUCUGACCUUAGUACGAGAGGACCGGGUUGGACGAACCUAUGGUGUAUCGGUUGUGGCGCCAGCUGCAUCGCCGAGUAGCUAAGUUCGGAAGGGAUAACCGCUGAAAGCAUCUAAGUGGGAAGCCCAUCACAAGAUAAGAUUUCCAUAAGACAGCUUGUAGACUACGAGCUUGAUAGGUCGCAUGUGUAAGCGCAGUAAUGUGUUGAGCUGAGCGAUACUAAUUUGUCUUUUUGCUUUAUUUA
rfam:Bacteriovorax sp. Seq25_V contig_33, whole genome shotgun sequence.